GCUUCGGAUCACCCCUUCCCAUGGGCCACUGAGGGUCCUGGCUCUCUCAGGAUGGGUGGGAGUAGGGGCUUGGUCAGAUUCCUCUGACCAUCUGCCCGUGGAGAAUGUCCGGAAUGCUCAUGACCUCAGUGAGUGAGCCAAGUGUUUGCUUAAUGGGAUUCCUGAUGGGCUGAGCCAAGGGCACUGGGCACGUGUGUCCAAGUACACACACACCUGGGCAAAAUCCAGGCCUCUGGGCACACACAGACAAGCACAGGUUGACACAUGGCCCUUCUCCUUGGGGAGCCUAGGCUGGGAACACUGUGGCCUUCACCUCCCUGGAGCAGGGCGGCGGGGGGCCUCGGCAGGGCCAGCCAAAGAGCUGAGUCCAGGAGCUGGCAUCUGGGUUGGGGAGCAGCUGGGGGAGGGGCCGCCUACGGGCCCAUUCCAGUCAGCUGACCGGGGCAGGGGAGCUGGGCAACCCCAAGGGAACCGGACAACACCUGGGGCCCAGGCUGCACUUUGGUUUUACUGCGGCCAUUUUCCGGGUGCAAAGGGAAGGCCAAGCAGGGUGCCUGGCUGGGCUGUGGAGGAGGCCCGAGCAGGGCAGGGAGGGUGGAGGCACCAGCCCCAAGUUCAAAUUCCAGCUCGCGCAGGCAGGCCGAGUGACCUUGGGGAGGAGUCGGUUUAAAGCCCAGAGGAAGCUGGGCGGAGCCCUGGAACGGGGGACCCCCCCCCGCCCAGGCACUGGCUGUGCUGGGGUCUGGGAGCUACAGGCUGGGGAGGGCCCAACCAGACCCCACCCACCCCCAGAGCCGGGGCGCCCGCGGACGGAUAGGUGGAUCUGGAGCCCCUCACCCCGGAGAUGCGCCGGUGUGACCGAGCAGGGCAAGGCUCUGAGACCUUCGCGAGGCAGCCCUGGAUGAGCCCUAGCAGAUGCCAGGUACCCCCAGCCUCAGCUGCCGCGGCAGAGGGGCUCUCUCUGGGGCCCCGGGAGAGACUCCCCUCCCCUUCAGCUGGCCCCUCUGCUCUGGAGGGGUGGGGGAGUGCUAGGGCCAGGCUUUAGUCUGCAAGUGGGUGUCAAAGUUAUGAUCAGAGGCCAGAGACCCCAGGGCUCUGCGCGCUGAGUCUCCCAGGCCGGAGAGGGGCCCUCCCCUCCACAAUUCAGGAGAUCCUAUAGUCUUUUCCAGUAGCCUCAACCAACAUGGGCAUCCCCAGAGGGAUGUGGGUGUCAGACGGGAAGGUGGGGAUCCUGUGGCCCAGACUGUUCACUGGUGCCAGGGACCAGAACAGGUGGGGGAGGGCACUCCUGGCAGUGCCCCCCUCCUUAGGCCCAGGCCCCACCCUCUGCCCUCAGCGUAGGGCAGGUGUCCUGAAUGGACUCCCAGGACGCCCCUGCUCAGCCAGCUGGCUGGGAGGAAGUGAAGGGGCAGAGGGCAGGUCCGGGCAGCGGUGGGCACCCCCAGGCCCGUGCAAGGACCCAAGGGCUCUGGCUAUGAUUCCUGGGGUGGUGUGGGGGUGGAAACGGGUGUGUCAGGAGGCAGGGGCCCAGGGCAGUUGGCCUCGUUUGCCUGGCACUGACGUGGAGCGCUUCCUGGGGAACCGCCUGGGGAAGGGAGGCACACUGGGUCCUGGAUGGUCGGUGGCACUGCCUUUUCACGGGUCACGCGGACCCCGGGGGCGGGUCUCCCUGCCUGCUGUCUGAAGCAUCACAGGUGAGCUCUCCCAGGUGGGGCAGGAAGUGGCCUUCUCCUUGGGCCCAGCCCUGCCCCCGAGCCCUGGCAGGACCUGGCUUCCUGGUUCUCUCUCCUACUCUGCUGAGCACUGGAAGAGGAAGGCCCGGGCCUGCCCUCGUCCUUCCUGGAGACGGGCAAAAAGUGGGAAGGCCGGCACACAAGGGAGCAGCUGAGGUGGGGACUGUAUCACUUCUGAAAUGAAAGUCACUGUCCCCAGACCAGGACUGACCCUGAUCAGGAGGCAGGAGAGAGCCUGGAGUCCCAGGCUGGCUGGUGGCCACGUGGAGCUGUGGUGCCCUCCGUGGCAUCUGACCGCCACCUGCAUGUAAACAAAGUGACAGGGGUGUCCGGAGCCCAGCUCGGGGCAGGAGAUCAUGAACCCUGAAGGCCACAGGUGUCCGGCUGCCAGAGUCUGCAGGGGAGCUGGCUGGGCGCUCCCAGAGGCAAGCGCACCCGUCCCGUCCUUCCCGAGUCCGCACGGCGCCAGCAGCAGGGAAGGCAGCGGGGAGGCGGGAGGACGCCCGCUGGUCCAGAGCCAGAGUGGGCAGCGCAGAGAGGUCCUGCUCCCACUUGCCCCUGCCAGGACAGAGGCCAUGGGGGGGGGGGGGCGCCGCUGCGGCCCCUCGAGGAAGCCAGUCCCCGUGGAGGUCCUGGACUGGCCCUGAGGCCUGGCUUGGCUGUCCUCCGGGGGAAGCCCUCCUCCUGGGGCUGCUGGGGGAGGCCUGGAUGGGGUAUGCGCUCUUGGGUAUGGAAGAGGUGGGCGGCCUCAGGAGGAAUUCAGGGAGGUAUAAACAUUUAUUUCCACAAAAUGGUAGAGAAAACGUCCAGAUACCCAACGUUUUGUUCCAGACGUGGACGGUGCACAGCGUGAACAGGUAAAGGUCCUGGAGAGCAGGAGCUCGGUGUCUUCCCGGAGCCAUUACGAUCUGCGAAGGGGGAAGAGGCACAAACAGAAUGCGAGGAGCACAGUGCAAACGUCCCUGGCGUUUUAAUGACCGAGGCUUGGACGUGGGGGCGCUGAGGCACCGGGCUGGGGCAGUGGAGGGCCGUUCGCCGCUGGCCCACUCCCUGCCUCCCUCCCGUCAGUGCCAGGGUCUCGGCCCGUCCUUCCUUCAGGAGCCCCCAGGGGAGAGGAGCCGCAGCUGCCGACAUCCCCCCGGACACCAGGGCCCAUGGUUCCUAAGCAGCUCGGGGCCUGGCUGCCCGCUUCCCAUGCUGCCCCUGGAGCCCCCGGCAGAGCAGCAGCACGGUGGGUAUGGAACACGCACCGCCCCGGCCUGCGCCCUCACACCCACGGGGGAACCGGCAAGACACGGCCAGGCUGCUCCUCCCGGCAGGGAACGGUGGUUUGUGGCCACAGCUCGGCCACCUCCUUUCCCAAGGGCCUGUUCCCUUCUGGGUCGGGGGUCAGGGCAGCUGCCGGAGGGAGAUCCUCACCAGCCAAAAGCGGGGCCUGAGCAGAUGUUCCCGCGGUCUCCCUUCCCGACCCUUCGUGCGGCUGUUCCCGGCAACUCCCCCGGCUCUCUGCUCUGCCCUGGGUUCCUGACCACCCCACCACCCAAAAUUCGCAAACCACUCCAAACCGUCCUACCCGUCCACACCGGUGCCCUUCCGUCCAGCACUGGGGGAGGAGACGGCCGAGCUCCCGGGCGGGGGCUUCUGUGCAGAGCUGUCCUGCCCGGCAAAGCCGGGUGCUGCCCGCCUAGCUGACAAAGGCAGCAAUGGCCACCAGCUGCAGGACGGCCUCCAGGCCGUGGAGCGUGAGGAGCGCGGCGCCGAGGGUGGAGUCGGCCCGCAGCACCAGCGUCUGCCAGAGCAGGAAGUAGGUGGACAGCAGGGCGCCACCCGCCGUAAGGACCAGGCUGCCGGCCAGCGGCACCUCGGCCUCCAUCAGGUUGCCCUUGGUGCCUGGAGAGGGGGACAAGCGGACGAGUGGGCACCGGGACGCCUACUCGGACGCACGUGCACCCAGGACGGCCCCGAGGCUGCAGGGAGGCCAGACGCGAGCUCAUCGCCAGCACAUCCCCCUGGACAUAGGGCUGACGGCUCCCAGGGAAAGGAUCUAUGGUGGCCACCACAUCACUCAGGAAAUGUCACAAAGCAAAAAUGCUGCCGAGGGGUGUGCUCUCCCCAGUGAGGAUAGAACCAAGUGCAGUUGUAAUUUUUGAACCUCAGUCUCUGGGUCAGUUGUCGGGGUGGGAGAGGGAACUUGGUUUUCUAAGAAUGAUCCCAAUUGCAUUCGGACACCUUUCCCUAAUUCCAAGUGGACUGAGGAGAUUUUGUUUAAAAUUUCCAAAAAUA